GCAUUGGUGGUUCAAGGGUACAAUUCCUGCUUCUCACGCAGGAGACCUGUGUUUAAUUCCCAGCCAAUGCA
rnacentral:tRNA from 1 species